rnacentral:rRNA from 1 species
CUUCAGGAUGAACGCUAGCGGGAGCUUAACACAUGCAAGUCGAGGGGCAGCAUUAGUACUUGUACUAGAUGGCGACCGGCGCACGGGUGAGUAACGCGUAUGCAACCUGCCUUUUACAGGGGAAUAGCCCAGAGAAAUUUGGAUUAAUGCCCCAUGGUUCCAUAAUGCCCCAUGGUAUAAUGGAUAAAGCUUCGGCGGUAAAAGAUGGGCAUGCGUGACAUUAGCUUGUUGGUAAGGUAACUGCUUACCAAGGCUACGAUGUCUAGGGGUUCUGAGAGGAUUGUCCCCCACACUGGUACUGAGACACGGACCAGACUCCUACGGGAGGCAGCAGUGAGGAAUAUUGGUCAAUGGGCGCAAGCCUGAACCAGCCAUCCCGCGUGCAGGAAGACGGCCCUACGGGUUGUAAACUGCUUUUAUAUACCAAGAAACCCUUCUACGAGUAGAAGGCUGACGGUAGUAUAUGAAUAAGCAUCGGCUAACUCCGUGCCAGCAGG